rnacentral:lncRNA from 1 species
AACUAGCAUGAUCUCCUUCAUAUAUGCCCAUCGCACUCCACCCUUUUUCAUUGUAAUAUUGCAUUUACUACCACACUUGACAGCCUCUUUUGCCCCCACUCCCUCUCUCAAAACAUGAGGGAAAGAGAGAAGGGGCUUUCAAAGGUGAAAGAAAGGCACAAGUUUCUGCAAGGUAUGGAGUAGUUAGUGAUGAAUAAUGUCAAAAGCUCAUGGCUUUUGGUGUUACUCGAAGUCAACACUAUCUAUAUGGUUUAUGUAUUGGUUCUUGUCUCGAUAUAUAUUCAUAUAAUUAUAUUUGAAAGAAAGAUGAGAAUAUUCUUUAUGCUCUUAGAUUUAUAAUCUCAGGCAUGGUGGUUAGAGGAGGAUCGACUAGGUCUUCUGAUUAUUUGUUUACUAUCUUGAUUUCAUGUGUAAUAAUUGAUAUAAUUUCUUGUAUAUGCUAUGAUUCUCAUACAGGUAACCUGUAUAAGGGUAUGAACAAAGCCAUCAUGUGUUACACUACAAGCCAGGAAGGAAGCCUAGUAGAUGGAUUCUUUGCUGGCUUUCAAAAGGCGGUUUCUUCAUGUUAAGUGGCCGGUGCUAUCCUACCUGAGCUUUUUCUAUUAUCUCUUCGUUUUUUUUUUUGUUUUUUUUUCUUGACCUUGUAAGACCUUUUCUUGACCUUGUAAGACCCCAUUUUUUGUUCUUUGUUUCUAUUUUUUGUAUUAUCAUCAACUUUACAUCAAAAUGUCUUGAUGUAGAGUUUUGACUAAUUUUUUCCCCGUUUCCGUCCAACUCAUCUUCUCCUUCCUUGUCUAUCCCUCCUGAGCUAUGAGCUGUUUGAAUUAGACUAAAUAACAUUUCCCUUCAAAAUCACCCAAUCAAGUACAAAUCAAAAACCUCUCGAAGUUCAUGCAAGCGAUGGAGCCUUACUUGCCAUGUGGGGUUUACGUUUUCUUACAUGUGAACUAUUGGAGGAAGAAAUCAACAAGUUUGAGCUAAGUGUUCAUUGAGGAGCUAGGUAAGAGCUUUAAAGAGUACUUGAAUCGCUUGUAAAAGUCUUUGUCUUUCUUUCUCUGUAAAAAAUAAAGAAAGACUCGUCUUUCUUAUUCUCUGCACGUUAAGGCCAUCAAUUUAGAUUGUUGUUAGUGUAUGCGUGUGCAGAAAUAUGCUGUUGCAGACAUCAGUUUCAUUGUUUUAUAUGUUGUUGUCUCAGAAGUGAGUAAGUAAAUAUUCUCUCAGAUCUGAGUGUGUAAGAGUUCUCCUCGUGACUGCUCUUAUGUACAAUACAAAAUAUUCAUGUAUCCACUGUGAAAUUUGGAUGUGUCUCUUUCUGUGUCUUAAAGUCCCUUUUGCACCACGAUGUCAGUCUAUAAAAAAGCUGAUCACACUCAGUGCUUGUGAGAUUUUUUUUCACACACCUAAUACGUCUGACUGAUGAGCUUAUUAGAGAUGGAAAAGCAACCCAAAAAUGGAAUUUGAACUCGAUUUGGGAGUUGAUAUGCCCUCAUCAGUAGAACAUAUUUGCGCAUAGAAGCAUUCAGUGUUUUAUACUCUUAUUUACCUUGGGUAUUUAGG